rnacentral:rRNA from 1 species
AGAGUUUGAUCCUGGCUCAGGACGAACGCUGGCGGCGUGCCUAAUACAUGCAAGUCGAGCGAACUUGCGGGAGCUUGCUCCCAAAAGUUAGCGGCGGACGGGUGAGUAACACGUGGGCAACCUGCCUGUAAGACUGGGAUAACUUCGGGAAACCGGAGCUAAUACCGGAUAACCCUUUUCCUCACAUGCGGAAAAGUUGAAAGAUGGCUUCGGCUAUCACUUACAGAUGGGCCCGCGGCGCAUUAGCUAGUUGGUGAGGUAACGGCUCACCAAGGCGACGAUGCGUAGCCGACCUGAGAGGGUGAUCGGCCACACUGGGACUGAGACACGGCCCAGACUCCUACGGGAGGCAGCAGUAGGGAAUCUUCCGCAAUGGACGAAAGUCUGACGGAGCAACGCCGCGUGAGUGAUGAAGGUUUUCGGAUCGUAAAACUCUGUUGUUAGGGAAGAACAAGUAUCGUUCGAAUAGGGCGGUACCUUGACGGUACCUAACCAGAAAGCCACGGCUAACUACGUGCCAGCAGCCGCGGUAAUACGUAGGUGGCAAGCGUUGUCCGGAAUUAUUGGGCGUAAAGCGCGCGCAGGCGGUCUUUUAAGUCUGAUGUGAAAGCCCCCGGCUCAACCGGGGAGGGUCAUUGGAAACUGGGAGACUUGAGUGCAGAAGAGGAGAGUGGAAUUCCACGUGUAGCGGUGAAAUGCGUAGAGAUGUGGAGGAACACCAGUGGCGAAGGCGACUCUCUGGUCUGUAACUGACGCUGAGGCGCGAAAGCGUGGGGAGCGAACAGGAUUAGAUACCCUGGUAGUCCACGCCGUAAACGAUGAGUGCUAAGUGUUAGAGGGUUUCCGCCCUUUAGUGCUGCAGCAAACGCAUUAAGCACUCCGCCUGGGGAGUACGGCCGCAAGGCUGAAACUCAAAGGAAUUGACGGGGGCCCGCACAAGCGGUGGAGCAUGUGGUUUAAUUCGAAGCAACGCGAAGAACCUUACCUACUCUUGACAUCCAGAGAAUUCGCUAGAGAUAGCUUAGUGCCUUCGGGAACUCUGAGACAGGUGCUGCAUGGCUGUCGUCAGCUCGUGUUGUGAAAUGUUGGGUUAAGUCCCGCAACGAGCGCAACCCUUAUCCUUUGUUGCCAGCACGUAAUGGUGGGAACUCAAAGGAGACUGCCGGUGAUAAACCGGAGGAAGGUGGGGAUGACGUCAAGUCAUCAUGGCCCUUACGAGUAGGGCUACACACGUGCUACAAUGGCGUAUACAAAGAGAAGCGAACUCGCGAGAGCAAGCGGACCUCAUAAAGUACGUCGUAGUCCGGAUUGGAGUCUGCAACUCGACUCCAUGAAGUCGGAAUCGCUAGUAAUCGUAGAUCAGAAUGCUACGGUGAAUACGUUCCCGGGCCUUGUACACACCGCCCGUCACACCAUGGGAGUGGGUUGCAAAAGAAGUAGGUAGCUUAACCUUCGGGAGGGCGCUUACCACUUUGUGAUUCAUGACUGGGGUGAAGUCGUAACAAGGUAACCGUAGGGGAACCUGCGGCUGGAUCACCUCCUU